AUUGAACGCUGGCGGAAUGCUUUACACAUGCAAGUCGAACGGCAGCACGGGGGCAACCCAGGUGGCGAGUGGGCGAACGGGUGAGUAAUACAUCGGAACGUGCCCAGUCGUGGGGGAUAACGGUAGCGAAAGCUACGCUAAUACCGCAUACGAUCUACGGAUGAAAGCGGGGGAUCGCAAGGACCUCGCGCGAUUGGAGCGGCCGAUGGCAGAUUAGGUAGUUGGUGGGGGUAAAGGCUCACCAAGCCUUCGAUCUGUAGCUGGUCUGAGAGGACGACCAGGCCACACUGGGACUGAGACACGGCCCAGACUCCUACGGGAGGCAGCAGUGGGGGAAUUUUGGACAAUGGGCGAAAGCCUGAUCCAGCCAUUCCGCGUGCAGGGAUGAAGGCCCUCGGGUUGUAAACCUGCUUUUGUACGGACGAAACGGCCUUUUCUAAUACAGAGGGCUAAUGACGGUACCGUAAGAUAAGCACCGGCUAACUACGUGCCAGCAGCC
rnacentral:rRNA from 1 species